GGGCUUUCUUUGGGCAUCAACUAAGCUUCCCUGCCAUGUUAUCCAGCUCUAGUGUCCUCACAGCUCAUGAGGAGGCCUGGAGUGGUGGAGGACCAAGCUGAAGGGACCAGAGGACCACUUCCUUCUCUCAAGAAAGCACAAGCUCUAGAUGGAAGCUUCAGUUCUAGCCUAGAAUGGAGAGUCCAACCAUCAAGCUAGAAGCUCAGCCCUGUUCUUCCCCAUGGACUGAACUACAGAACUAGAAGAACUCUGAUUCUCAGGUGCCCAGUCGAGACCAAAUCCCCUGGCCAUCACCCACUCACCUUCAGGCAGUGAAUUGUUCAGCAGUUGAAGACACAGUGUUCAGUCAAUGCAGAAAACUGACAGAGCUGGGAAGAAUGGUGGAUAGGAAGGGAACAUUUGUCACUUAAAAAGUGCUGAAGAUGCCCCUUUUCUUUGUUGUGCCAGAGGUUCUGACAGGUUGAGGAACCUGGAACCAGUGUGUACCUUUUCACUACCUGGCCUUGAAAGACAGCAGAUUUCAAAUUCUAAGGAAACCGUUUCAUAUACACCCUAGAGAGCAAGCAAGAAAAGAAGCCUCCAAUUGGACAUAUGGUUUAUUGGGGUCUGAAGAUCCAGUACCAAAGCCUGAAAGACUGUAGGAUUGUGAGAUACUCUCUUGAGUAUAAGAAAAUUCACUUCCUAUCAUAUUUGAAAGGCUCCAGGAGCACCAAGGCCCAAGCUCCAGCUUCCUAGCAUAGCCAAUGUUUCUGGCUUUACACAUUUAUCCAUUUAACAAAUAUUUUGCUUGCAUGUCACUGCUCAACAACAGUCCUGGGCCUGGUUUACCCUCCAGGUUCCCAAGGAGUAAAAGUUCACCCGAGUCAGGAGGGAUCCAAACAUGGACCAUUCUCUCCUGCUGCUUCUCUUCCCCCACAAGCUAGUGGCGUUCCAACAUUCAGCUCAGAUGCUUCACUGCUCCUAACAAGAGGCUCCUCUGCACCCCUUAUUCACGGUCAUACCCAUCGGUCACCAGGGACUCCGCUGCUGAGCCCCAUCAUCGCUAUUGCUGCUGCUGCUAAUUCCCUGAUCUGUGAAGACACCUGACCAACACAGCUUAAUUUAUGCAAUUCUGUAAUGGGAAGAGGCUCUUUGUCCGAGGAUGGUGCUGAAAUCACUGCCUUAAAGACCUCUGCUGUGCAGAGAGGGG
rnacentral:lncRNA from 1 species